GACGAACGCUGGCGGCGUGCUUAACACAUGCAAGUCGAACGGUGAAGCGCCUCCCUUUUUGGUGGGUGUGGAUGAGUGGCGAACGGGUGAGUAACACGUGAGUAACCUGCCCCCUUCUUCUGGAUAACCGCAUGAAAGUGUGGCUAAUACGGGAUAUUCUGGGUCUGUCGCAUGAUGGGUCUGGGAAAGAUAUUGUUUCGGUGGGGGAUGGGCUCGCGGCCUAUCAGCUUGUUGGUGGGGUGAUGGCCUACCAAGGCGGUGACGGGUAGCCGGCCUGAGAGGGUGGACGGUCACGCUGGGACUGCGACACGGCCCGGCCUCCUACGGGAGGCAGCAGUGGGGAAUGUUGCACAAUGGGCGCAAGCCUGAUGCAGCGACGCCGCGUGAGGGCUGGAGGCCUUCGGGUUGUGAACCUCUUUCGCCAGUGAAGCAGGCCUGCCUCGUUUGUGGGUGGGUUGACGGUAGCUGGAUAAGAAGCGCCGGCUAACUACGUG
rnacentral:rRNA from 1 species